GUCUGUGUUUGUGCAGCACAGCACUCCCAGGCUGAACCCACCCAGCUAUGAUGAUGACAUGGAGUUGAAGCUAAUCGAAAUGAACUCGUCGACGGGUGUGAUGCACCCAGACGUGCCCUGGGGGACGAGGAGGCUGCUGAACUGGAUCAAGGAGGAGUAUGGCAACAUUCCUAUUUAUAUCACUGAAAAUGGACAGGGACUGGAAAACCCCACACUGGAUGACACAGAAAGGAUCUUCUACCACAAAACCUAUAUCAACGAGGCUCUGAAAGCCUACAAGCUGGAUGGUGUGGACCUUCGAGGGUACUCUGCCUGGACGCUGAUGGACGACUUCGAGUGGCUGCUUGGCUACA
rnacentral:lncRNA from 1 species